rnacentral:lncRNA from 1 species
AGAUGCACAUUAAUGCCAGGAACCUAAAACAAAACGGUUGAACAUUCCACAUACCCGUUGGUUGAGCUGAUGGCUACACAAUCUCUCAGUGCACACGGAGAAACAAGAGAAGCUAAUAUGCAAAACACUGAAGACAAAGCUGGCUGCUUUCUAUCUGCAGAGACCACGCAACCCAGUGCAACAUAACCUCUUGGUGCCUCAGGAAACCAUAUCGAACAGAAACUCUCUUCCCCACUGACAGCACCUGGAGUCGAUAACCUAGAACUGGUAACAUCUUCAUCAGAAGCUUCCUUUGAAGCAGAUGAUGACCAUACCAAUUUAAAGGAUACGGGCCUUUUCACUCUCACUAAGUUAGUAUUUACAGCAGGAACUCCUUUGGUAGGUGGCUUGUCC